rnacentral:rRNA from 1 species
GUCCAUGCAGUAAACGAUGUUCACUAGGUGUCAGCUCCUUUAAAGGGUUGGUGCCGCCGCUAACGCAUUAAGUGAACCACCUGGGGAGUACAGUCGCAAGGCUGAAACUCAAAGGAAUUGACGGGGACCCGCACAAACGGUGGAGCAUGUGGUUUAAUACGACGAUACGCGUGGAACCUUACCCAGGCUUGACAUGUAUCUGAAAUCCUUAUGAAAGUAGGGACCUCCCUCAAGGACAGAUACACAGGUGUUGCAUGGCUGUCGU